CCUACGGGAGGCAGCAGUGGGGAAUCUUGGACAAUGGGGGCAACCCUGAUCCAGCGACGCCGCGUGGGUGACGAAGGCCUUAGGGUUGUAAAGCCCUUUUCUCGGGGAAGAUGAUGACGGUACCCGAGGAAUAAGCACCGGCUAACUCCGUGCCAGCAGCCGCGGUAAU
rnacentral:rRNA from 1 species